rnacentral:tRNA from 1 species
AGGGUUCUCAUAGUUGAAUAACACCGAUGAUUUUUCAUGUCAUUGGUCUUGGUUAGAUUCCAUGUGGGAAUA